ACUGCCGGUGACAAACCGGAGGAAGGUGGGGAUGACGUCAAGUCAUCAUGGCCCUUACGGCCUGGGCUACACACGUGCUACAAUGGUCGGUACAGAGGGUUGCCAAGCCGCGAGGUGGAGCUAAUCUCACAAAACCGAUCGUAGUCCGGAUCGCAGUCUGCAACUCGACUGCGUGAAGUCGGAAUCGCUAGUAAUCGCGAAUCAGAAUGUCGCGGUGAAUACGUUCCCGGGCCUUGUACACACCGCCCGUCACACCAUGGGAGUGGGUUGCACCAGAAGUAGCUAGUCUAACCUUCGGGGGGACGGUUACCACGGUGUGAUUCAUGACUGGGGUGAAGUCGUAACAAGGUAGCCGUAGGGGAACCUGCGGCUGGAUCACCUCCUUAAUCGACGAC
rnacentral:rRNA from 1 species